rnacentral:sRNA from 1 species
UGGGGGAUAACCUCGAAAAUAAUAUAUUUUAUAGAUCUUAUAAUGAUAAUCUAGAUAUAUUUUCUAAUUAUUGGCGAUAGCCAGAAUAGGACAGAUCAUAGAUCACUAAACUCAUGAUUCAAGACAGCAAGAUGUGAUAAAAAAAAAGGACAUCUAAGAUUAAAAAGAAAGAGAUGUCAACAGCAAAAAAUUAUCAUGCCACCACCCAUACAGUCUUUGGUCUAUAAAUAGCACUAAAUAAGUGAUACUGUAAGGCCAAGACAAGCAGCUAUCAGUCUAUACAGGGCAAGAAUGAAGCGCUAUUUAAUUAUAACAGGAGAUGACUUUGGCUUCAG